rnacentral:rRNA from 1 species
UACGAAGGGUGCAAACGUUGCUCGGAAUUACUGGGCGUAAAGGGCUCGUAGGUGGCCAACUAAGUCAGACGUGAAAUCCCACAGCUUAACUGGGGAACUGCGUCUGAUACUGGAUGGCUUGAGUUCGGGAGAGGGAUGCGGAAUUCCAGGUGUAGCGGUGAAAUGCGUAGAUAUCUGGAGGAACACCGGUGGCGAAGGCGGCAUCCUGGACCGACACUGACACUGAGGAGCGAAAGCCAGGGGAGCAAACGGG